rnacentral:rRNA from 1 species
AAACCAACAGGGAUUGCCUUAGUAGCGGCGAGUGAAGCGGCAAGAGCUCAAAUUUGAAAUCUGGUACCUUCGGUGCCCGAGUUGUAAUUUGAAGAAAGCUAUCUUGGAGGUGGCCUUUGUCUAUGUUCCUUGGAACAGGACGUCAUGGAGGGUGAGAAUCCCGUGUGAUGAGGUGUCCAUUUCCGUGUAAGAUGCUUUCGAAGAGUCGAGUUGUUUGGGAAUGCAGCUCAAAGUGGGUGGUAAAUUCCAUCUAAAGCUAAAUAUUGGCGAGAGACCGAUAGCGAACAAGUACUGUGAAGGAAAGAUGAAAAGAACUUUGAAAAGAGAGUGAAAAAGUACGUGAAAUUGUUGAAAGGGAAGGGUAUUUGAUCAGACUUGGUAUUUAGCUAUCAUCGCUCCUUGUGGGUGGUGCUCUAGCUUUUUACUGGGCCAAGCAUCAGUUUUGGUGGCAAGAUAAUGACAGUUGAAUGUGGCUCCUCGGAGUGUUAUAGCUUCUGUUGAUGUUGCCUACCGAGACUGAGGUCUGCGGCUUUUGCCUAGGAUGCUGGCGUAAUGAUCCAAUACCGC